AUUGAACGCUGGCGGCAGGCCUAACACAUGCAAGUCGAACGGUAACAGGAAGAAGCUUGCUUCUUUGCUGACGAGUGGCGGACGGGUGAGUAAUGUCUGGGAAACUGCCUGAUGGAGGGGGAUAACUACUGGAAACGGUAGCUAAUACCGCAUAACGUCGCAAGACCAAAGAGGGGGACCUUCGGGCCUCUUGCCAUCGGAUGUGCCCAGAUGGGAUUAGCUAGUAGGUGGGGUAACGGCUCACCUAGGCGACGAUCCCUAGCUGGUCUGAGAGGAUGACCAGCCACACUGGAACUGAGACACGGUCCAGACUCCUACGGGAGGCAGCAGUGGGGAAUAUUGCACAAUGGGCGCAAGCCUGAUGCAGCCAUGCCGCGUGUAUGAAGAAGGCCUUCGGGUUGUAAAGUACUUUCAGCGGGGAGGGAGGGAGUAAAGUUAAUACCUUUGCUCAUUGACGUUACCCGCAGAAGAAGCACCGGCUAACUCCGUG
rnacentral:rRNA from 1 species